CGGACGGGUGAGUAAUGCUUGGGAAUCUGGCUCAUGGAGGGGGAUAACUACGGGAAACUGUAGCUAAUACCGCGUAGUAUCGGAAGAUGAAAGUGUGGGACCGCAAGGCCACAUGCCAUGAGAUGAGCCCAAGUGGGAUUAGGUAGUUGGUUAGGUAAAGGCUGACCAAGCCGACGAUCUCUAGCUGGUCUGAGAGGAUGACCAGCCACACUGGAACUGAGACACGGUCCAGACUCCUACGGGAGGCAGCAGUGGGGAAUAUUGCACAAUGGGGGAAACCCUGAUGCAGCCAUGCCGCGUGAAUGAAGAAGGCCUUCGGGUUGUAAAGUUCUUUCGGUGAUGAGGAAGGUGUUUGUUUUAAUAGGACAAGCAAUUGACGUUAGUCACAGAAGAAGCACCGGCUAACUCCGUGCCAGCAGCCGCGGUAAUACGGAGGGUGCGAGCGUUAAUCGGAAUAACUGGGCGUAAAGGGCACGCAGGCGGUGACUUAAGUGAGAUGUGAAAGCCCCGAGCUUAACUUGGGAAUUGCAUUUCAUACUGGGUCGCUAGAGUACUUUAGGGAGGGGUAGAAUUCCACGUGUAGCGGUGAAAUGCGUAGAGAUGUGGAGGAAUACCGAAGGCGAAGGCAGCCCCUUGGGAAUGUACUGACGCUCAUGUGCGAAAGCGUGGGGAGCAAACAGGAUUAGAUACCCUGGUAGUCCACGCU
rnacentral:rRNA from 1 species